rnacentral:rRNA from 1 species
CAUAGUACCGUGAGGGAAAGGUGAAAAAGGACCCCGUGAGGGGAGUGAAAAGUACCUGAAAUCAUGUGCCUACAAAGUGUAGGAGCUGGGACUUGUUCCUGGUGACUGCAUGCCUUUUGCAUAAUGAGUCUGCGACUUACUCCUGUAUGGCGAGGUUAAGCUUCGAGCGUAGCCGCAGCGAAAGCGAGUGUGAAUAGCGCGUUUAGUCAUACGGGGUAGACCCGAAACCAAGUGAUCUAUCCAUGGCCAGGCUGAAUCCUCUGUAACAGGAGGUGGAGGGCCGAACCAGUACGUGUUGAAAAACGUUUGGAUGAGCUGUGGAUAGGGGUGAAAGGCCAAUCAAACUUGGUGAUAGCUGGUUCUCUCCGAAAUAGCUUUAGGGCUAGCCUCGUGUUAUAGCAUACGGGGGUAGAGCACUGAUUAUUCGCGGGCCCUUACCCGGGUACCAACAAUAGUCAAACUCCGAAUACCGUAUUGCCUUAUCACGGGAGUCAGACUGCGGGGGAUAAGCUCCGUAGUCGAAAGGGAAACAGCCCAGCCCGCCGGCUAAGGUCCCUAAUUCGAACUGAGUGGUUGGAAGGAUGUGGAGUUGCAUAGACAGCCAGGAUGUUGGCUUAGAGGCAGCCAUCAUUUAAAGAGUGCGUAAUAGCUCACUGGUCGAGUGAUUCUGCGCCGAAAAUGAUCGGGACUAAGUUCGGAACCGAAGCCGCGGUUGCCCUGUUUAGGCAGGGCGAGGUAGGAGAGCGUUGUAUGCGGGCUGAAGCUCAGCCGUAAGGAUGGGUGGACUGCAUACAAGUGAUCAUGCAGGCAUGAGUAGCGAUAAGGAAGGUGAGAAUCCUUCCCACCGAAAAUCCAAGGUUUCCUGGGCAAGGUUCGUCCCCCCAGGGUUAGUCGGAUCCUAAGGCGAGGCCGAAAGGCGUAGUCGAUGGACAACAGGUUAAUAUUCCUGUACUUCUCUAUCGGAGCGAUGGAGGGACGCAGUAUGCUAGGCUGGCUGCCGACUGGAAGUGGCAGUCCAAGCGUGUAGGGUGGCCGGAUAGGAAAAUCCGCCGGCCUCUAACCUGAGGCGUGAUGGGACGUGGCGUCGACAGACAAAGCGAAUCAGCUGAUGCUCCGCUGCCUAGAAAAGCUUCUAAGCGUUGAUGAUAGGGAAUCCGUACCGUAAACCGACACAGGUAGAUGAGGCGAGAAGCCUAAGGUGCGCGAGAGAAACCACGUUAAGGAACUCGGCAAAAUGACCCCGUAACUUCGGGAGAAGGGGUGCCUCCAGCCGUGAUCAGACUUGCUCUGUGAGCAACUGGAGGUCGCAGAUAAGAGGCCCAGGCGACUGUUUAGCAAAAACACAGCACUCUGCUAACUCGUUAAGAGGAUGUAUAGGGUGUGACACGUGACCAAUGCCGAAAGGUCAAGCGGAUGAGUUAGUCUUCGGACGAAGCCCGGAAGCGAAGCCCCGGUGAAUGUCGGCCGUAACUAUAACGGUCCUAAGGUAGCGAAAUUCCUUGUCGGGUAAGUUCCGACCUGCACGAAUCGUGUAACGAUCUGGGCACUGUCUCAACGUGGUUCUCGGCGAAAUUGUAAUUCCGGUGAAAAUGCCGGAUACCCGCGGUAGGACGGAAAGACCCCGUGAACCUUUACUGUAAUCUGAUAUUGGCAUUUGGUUAUUCAUGUGUAGGAUAGGUGGGAGUCUGCGAAGCGAUCUCGUCAGGGGUCGCGGAGACAUUGGUGAAAUACCACCCUUGGAUGGUUGAAUGUCUAACCUUGACCCGUGAAUCCGGGCAAGGAACAGUGUCAGAGGGUCAGUUUGACUGGGGCGGUUUCCUCCCAAAUUGUAACGGAGGAGUUCGAAGGUCUGCUCAGCAUGGUUGGCAAUCAUGCGUAGAGCGCAAGGGUAUAAGCAGGCCUUACUGCGAGACCGACGGGUCGAGCAGUUGCGAAAGCAGGACCUAGUGAUCCAGCGGUUAAAUGUGGAAUUGCCGUUGCUCAUCGGAUAAAAGGUACUCCGGGGAUAACAGGCUGAUCGCGCCCAAGCGUCCAUAGCGACGGCGCGGUUUGGCACCUCGAUGUCGGCUCAUCACAUCCUGGGGCUGAAGAAGGUCCCAAGGGUUCGGCUGU